rnacentral:rRNA from 1 species
AUUGAACGCUGGCGGCAGGCUUAACACAUGCAAGGCGAGCGAGCGGCGGACGGGUGAGUAAUGUCUGGGAAACUGCCUGAUGGAGGGGGAUAACUACUGGAAACGGUAGCUAAUACCGCAUACCAUUAGAUGUGACCCGAUGGGUUUAGCUCGUAGGUGGGGUAAUGGCUAUCCUAGGCGACGAUCCCUAGCUGGUCUUAGAGGGUAACCGUCCACGCUGGACCUGAAACCCGGUCCAGACUCCUGCGGGGGGCAGCAGUGGGGAAGAUGUCAGAAUGGGGGCAAGCCUGAUGCAGCCAUGCCGCGUUAGGUAAGAAGGCCUUCGGAUUUUAGAGCACUUUCAGCGAGGAGGCGUUACUCGCAAAGGAAGCACCGGCUAACUCCGUGCCAGCCGCCGCGGUAAUUC